AAUGAACGCUGGCGGCAGGCCUAACACAUGCAAGUCGAACGGGCACUUCGGUGCUAGUGGCGGACGGGUGAGUAACGCGUGGGAACGUGCCCCUUGGUACGGAAUAGCCCCGGGAAACUGGGAGUAAUACCGUAUGUGGUCGAGAGACGAAAGAUUUAUCGCCAAGGGAUCGGCCCGCGUUGGAUUAGGUAGUUGGUGGGGUAAUGGCCUACCAAGCCGACGAUCCAUAGCUGGUUUGAGAGGAUGAUCAGCCACACUGGGACUGAGACACGGCCCAGACUCCUACGGGAGGCGGCAGUGGGGAAUCUUAGACAAUGGGGGAAACCCUGAUCUAGCCAUGCCGCGUGAUCGAUGAAGGCCUUAGGGUUGUAAAGAUCUUUCAGGUGGGAAGAUAAUGACUGUACCACCAGAAGAAGCCCCGGCUAACUCCGUGCCAGCCGCCGCCGUAA
rnacentral:rRNA from 1 species